ACUCUGUUGCCUCCGGGGCGACCCUGCCUUCGGGCGGGGGCUCCGGGUGGACACUUCAAACUCUUGCGUAACUUUGCAGUCUGAGUAAACUUAAUUAAUAAAUUAAAACUUUUAACAACGGAUCUCUUGGUUCUGGCAUCGAUGAAGAACGCAGCGAAAUGCGAUAAGUAAUGUGAAUUGCAGAAUUCAGUGAAUCAUCGAAUCUUUGAACGCACAUUGCGCCCCCUGGUAUUCCGGGGGGCAUGCCUGUUCGAGCGUCAUUUCACCACUCAAGCCUCGCUUGGUAUUGGGCAUCGCGGUCCGCCGCGUGCCUCAAAUCGACCGGCUGGGUCUUCUGUCCCCUAAGCGUUGUGGAAACUAUUCGCUAAAGGGUGUUCGGGAGGCUACGCCGUAAAACAACCCCAUUUCUAAGGUUGACCUCGGAUCAGGUAGGGAUACCCGCUGAACUUAAGCAUAUC
rnacentral:rRNA from 1 species